CUCAGCAGCUUUGUCUAUGAGGACUUACAAGACAGUUGUUAUGUUUACAGAUUGCUGACUGCACGAGUAAGAAGGUAGGGGAGGCAGCAUAAAAGAUGGCAUUGCUGAAGCCAGAAACCUGACCAGGGAGAUGCGUGUUCUGUAUUCAGCAGAGAAGACACCAAGCAUGGAAGUAGCCUCUGCACCCUAGACUCUGUGUCUCCCUACAUCCCUAACACAAAAUAUUCUUCAGAUAUGCCACUGACAGUAAGGAGAACAGGUCUGGUUUAAAGUAUGGGCACACAGGAGGCAGGAAGUGACUCCAGGAGAAACUUCUGUUUAUAGCAUAAUCAGACUUCCUCAGAAGAUGAAAGAGAGUCAGCAGACCCAAAGCUUGCAGUAAGAGGAAGAUGCAGUCUAUGCAGCCUGAUGACCAGGACACAGACAGCCAAGUACACCCAGCUGGGAGAGAAGACCAUGACCAUGGACCAGAAGCCACCCCUAAUGCCAGGAUGCAACCUAGGACCCCAGAACUUAAGCACACUCUGGAGAGACCUUAAAUAGUCGUCACCAAGAAAAAGCCUGUUGGAAAAGCAGAUGGCAGAACUUUUAAAUUCAAAAAGAGCAGUUCCCUGGGCAGAUGCAACAGAAUUGGAGAUGCUGAUGGAGAACAGGAGGCCCAAGGAAGUGAAGGUCUCAAAAAAGAUGGAGGAGACAGCAGCAUAGAAGAUGCAGAAUUAGGGUUUGAGAAGAGAGAAGACAUUCAAGUCCUGGGCCCAGAGACCAGUAUCCACGGAUCAGGUUUAUAACAAAGUUCAGAAAAUGCUAAAGCUUAAAGGAGAAUUGAGAGGUGCCAAGGAAAUGAAAGACGAGG